rnacentral:rRNA from 1 species
GACGAAGGGGGCUAGCGUUGUUCGGAAUUACUGGGCGUAAAGGGCGCGUAGGCGGCGCAUUAAGUCAGGCGUGAAAGCCCUGGGCUCAACCUGGGAGUGGCGCUUGAUACUGGUGUGCUAGAGAGUGGGAGAGGUUGGUGGAAUUCCCAGUGUAGAGGUGAAAUUCGUAGAUAUUGGGAAGAACACCGGUGGCGAAGGCGGCCAACUGGACCAUUUCUGACGCUGAGGCGCGAAAGCGUGGGGAGCAAACAGG